rnacentral:rRNA from 1 species
ACGGGAGGCAGCAGUGGGGAAUAUUGGGCAAUGGGCGAAAGCCUGACCCAGCAACGCCGCGUGAAGGAAGAAGGUCUUCGGAUUGUAAACUUCUUUUAUGAGGGACGAAGGACGUGACGGUACCUCAUGAAUAAGCCACGGCUAACUACGUGCCAGCAGCCGCGGUAAUACGUAGGUGGCGAGCGUUAUCCGGAUUUACUGGGUGUAAAGGGUGUGUAGGCGGGACUGCAAGUCAGAUGUGAAAAUUACGGGCUCAACUCGUAACCUGCAUUUGAAACUGUGGUUCUUGAGAGUCGGAGAGGUAAAUGGAAUUCCUGGUGUAGCGGUGAAAUGCGUAGAUAUCAGGAGGAACACCGGUGGCGAAGGCGAUUUACUGGACGACAACUGACGCUGAGACACGAAAGUAUGGGGAGCAAACAGGAUUAGAUACCCUGGUA